rnacentral:rRNA from 1 species
UGGGGAAUAUUGGACAAUGGGCGCAAGCCUGAUCCAGCCAUGCCGCGUGAGUGAUGAAGGCCCUAGGGUUGUAAAGCUCUUUCACCGGUGAAGAUAAUGACGGUAACCGGAGAAGAAGCCCCGGCUAACUUCGUGCCAGCAGCCGCGGUAAUACGAAGGGGGCUAGCGUUGUUCGGAUUUACUGGGCGUAAAGCGCACGUAGGCGGACUAUUAAGUCAGGGGUGAAAUCCCGGGGCUCAACCCCGGAACUGCCUUUGAUACUGGUAGUCUAGAGUUCGAGAGAGGUGAGUGGAAUUCCGAGUGUAGAGGUGAAAUUCGUAGAUAUUCGGAGGAAAACCAGUGGCGAAGGCGGCUCACUGGCUCGAUACUGACGCUGAGGUGCGAAAGCGUGAGGAGCAAACAGG